UACGUAGGGUGCGAGCGUUGUCCGGAAUUACUGGGCGUAAAGCGUGCGCAGGCGGUGAUGUAAGACAGAUGUGAAAUCCCCGGGCUCAACCUGGGAACUGCAUUUGUGACUGCAUCGCUGGAGUGCGGCAGAGGGGGGAUGGAAUUCCGCGUGUAGCAGUGAAAAUGCGUAGAUAUGCGGAGGAACACCGAUGGCGAAGGCAAUCCCCUGGGCCUGCACUGACGCUCAUGCACGAAAGCGUGGGGAGCAAACAGG
rnacentral:rRNA from 1 species